rnacentral:misc_RNA from 1 species
GAUGAAGAACGCAGCUAAAUGCGAUAAGUAAUGCGAAUUGCAGAAUUCCAGUGAGUCAUCGAAUCUUUGAACGCACAUUGCGCCCUUUGGUAUUCCGAAGGGCAUGCCUGUUCGAGCGUCAUUAUCACCCCUCAAGCCCUCGGCUUGGUGUUGGACGGUUUGGUGGAGGCCCCCUCGGGGGUUCCUGCCCCUCCCAAAGACAAUGACGGCGGCCUCGUUGGACCCCCGGUACACUGAGUUCUUCACGGGACACGUAUCGGACACAUGGGUUUACGGGACACGGUCUGCCUCCCCUCAGGGAGAAUCUUUCUAAGGUUGACCUCGGAUCAGGUAGGGAUACCCGCUGAACUUAAGCAUAUCAAUAAGCGGAGGA